UUGCUAUUUUUCAUUUUCUCCCUCAUUUAUUUUUCUCUUCUAUCAAUUUCACCAGAGAUCGUUAAUUUCAUCCUCAAUUCCUCUCUUCUCCCUCUUCUUUUUUCGUUCCUGGAUAUUCCUGGAGUGGGACCCUCACUAAAUCUUUUUUCUGAUGGAGGAUGUAAAAGUUGCUGAAGUUAUGCCUCCUCCAGAUUCAUCUUCAUCCUCCCAAGAUAACAAUCAUUCUCAAAAGGAAGGCUCAAUAAGCAC
rnacentral:misc_RNA from 1 species